UCCCCCAUCCUUAUAAUUUGAGGAAAAAUUAUCGGUUUGGCUCAAAAACCCUCUCCAUCCCGUUCCCCAAAAUGGGGAUGAAAAUUAGGGGUGCUACAGGAGGUCCCCAUAUUUGAGGACCUACUGUACAUCCGCAUCGCUCUCUCGCCCCAACGGUUGCCCCUUCCAGCCCGCGUCUUCUUCUCCCCCCCUCCCCCCCUCCCUCGCAACGCAGCACGGCCGGAUUCUGCCCUCCUCGACUGUAAGUGCUAUUUAUUCUCUGAUUUGGCUUUGUUUUUCUUCUGGGUUUCCCUGUUUUGUCCGAAUCGCUUUUUGUUUUUCUUCUGGGUUUCCCUCGUAACGUCUGUGGAAUCAACGUUGCUCUUUUGGGUUGGUUUGGUGCUGUGAUCAACUAAAUCACAAAAUCGGCAAAGCGUCGCAUCACUCGCCGUUGUCAUUUUCUCUUCCCGGAAGGGCCGAUCAUCCUCUGAGAGGCUCAUCUUCUCGCUUAGAUUUAGAUUACAGGGAGAGAAAAUUGAGCGACUCUAUUUUUUCGUGGGUGAUUAUUACUUGUGUCAAAAGAAGGGGUGGGUUGGAAGUUUGGUGCUUGAGGGCGUGUGGUGUGGAUCCGGUGCUCAUGGAUAAAGUCCUUCACAAGCUCCGAAAACUGGACGCGUACCCUAAACUGAGCUCAGCGAUUCAGCUACGGUAGCAGAUUUGCAGGAGGCGAUUCAUCAACGAAGUAAGUGCUGGAUGUGGUUCCCUUAUUGUUGCGUUUUUUAUGCAGAUUUUUAGCCCGAACAACCAACUUCGCUUUGUUGGUCAGUUAAUCAAUGUUUAGCAAAUUAGUUUAGCUUCGGUUGUUUUUGGAAGGCAAUAGGGUUACUUUCUCUAGUGAAUCUCAGUAGUUAGUACUGAUUUCAUUUCUUAUAAAAAUUACCAUAAGUUCCAUAAAUGGCUGUGAAAUUGAACCACUGGUUUGCUAUGGAUCCCCUUUGAUUGAUCUUGUAUUCAGAAAAGUGUGAAGGGCAUCUGUUCUAGUUGCUCUAAUGUUGGCCGUUUAAUGUUCUUCCUUUAAAUCGUCUUAUUGAAGAGUUAAGCGAGAAUAAAAUGUUGGCCGUUUAAUGUUCUUCCUUUAAAUGUUGGCCGUUUAAUGUUCUCAGGAAGUUUGUGCAUGCCCUCUCUCUCGACCUUGGUGUAUAUAAUCUUUUUAUCAAGAAAAUUGUACUUUAUAAGCUACUUUUAAAAGAAAUCCUACUUUUAAUUUCAUUGCAUCACUAAUAUUAUUUUUUUGAUAAGUAAUAAGAUAUUGCAUCACUAAUAUUUAUAUGCAAGAUCGGCUUUAGACUUCAUGCUUAGUUAUUGUUUCUGGACUUCUGGUGUCUGAACGUGGCAUUUCCUAGCUCACCAUGUUAGGUUUGUUCAUUAGUGCUCAGUUAUUACUUCCCCUGCCCCCCAAAAAGAGAAGAAUGAGUGCAUGUCUGAGUGUUGAGACCUUUGCAUGUCAAGUGAUAUCAUUAACUCAAUUUGCCUCUCUUACAUCAACACACUGUCAGGCUUUUGUAUUGAACCUAUUGCAUAAUUUAUUUAUUCCAAAUAUGUUCUGGUUCUUCAUGUUUCUCUUUUUUCUUCAAAUAUUAACAAAUAGUUCUAUCUAAAAUUGUUUACAUUCGUUUAUUAGUGGUUGUUAUUUAAUUUUUUAUUUUAUUUGUAUAUGUAUAUUUUUUUUCAGUUUAUCUCUUUCAUGUGGAACACAGACUAUGAAUAUAUUUGGAAUGUUGGUCAUUGAGUAAUUUCUUCUACCUUGUUUGGUCAUUUGCAGUGUUUCGUGUCAUUCGGGGGAGGGGGGAAUAUAAUUAGGCUGUGAUGAUGGGGUUAAUUCAGAAGUGUAAUUGGGGCCCCAUCGAUAUGGCGGGGUAAUCGUUACUUGAAUAGGCCAAGUUGCAGUUUGUGGUACUCUCCAUAAACUGCAAUUUCCAUUCGGGUGAGGUUUUGCAGCCAUUCGAUGUUGGACUCCUAGAUUACGCAUGUUGUCCAUAUUUACACCAUUCUGAGCCACAUUUAUUGUCUUAUUCAAUAUGGGGAACCGGAUGGGAAUGCUCAUAUUUUUUGUUUUGUGAUUUGCAUACUGUUUGUUGUUGUUUGUAUUCUAUUGCGAAGAAGGAAUCAGAUCAGCGCAUUAUGAUGAUGGAUGUGAGUGUCAUGCCAGAAAUGCAACGGCUAUAUUUCCAGCAACUCCAGAGGGAAAUCAUGAUGAGACGCAGUAAUGCCUGAGAUUUGGAUUGAUUGUAAUGUAAUUUUUUUAUUGUACUUUUGAUGAUAGUUUCCUGUUAUACUUUUGUGCAAGUAAAUUGGAUGCCAUAAUUUCAGAAACAAUUAUAAGUUAUGCCAAAUUUAAUCCACUAUUACAUGAAAGAAA